GUUGUCGUGGCUGAGUGGUUAUGGCGAUGGACUUAAGAUCUUUUGGGAUCUUCCCGCGCAGGUUCGAUUUCUGCCGACAUCG
rnacentral:tRNA from 1 species